CACAGAGUUACUUUACAUUUUCUGAGGUUUGCAUUCAUCAGAAACAUCCAAUAUGCAUGUUCUUAAAGUCGCAGUGCUCCUUGUAGCAGUUCUUGCUGCAGUGUUCGGAACAAGCAUGGCCAAGGGUCAUAGUGGUGGUCACGGUCAUGGAGGUGGGAUGGGUCAUGGUGGUGGCCAUGGGGGUAAAGGACAUGGAGGACAUGGUGGCGGACACGGGGGCAAGGGACACGGAGGCCAUGGCGGUGGACAUGGGGGCAAAGGGCAUGGAGGCGGCCAUGGAGGAAAGGGGCACCAUGGAUAAACCAUGUAGAUGAAAGGCGUGUGACAAUGCAGCUUCUACAUGUCAUUCCACUGCUGCUGGACAACGGGGAAACAACUCAGAGAAA